GAAAACUAGACACUCCCAGAAAAAGGAAAAGAAGAAGAAAGGGAGAAGCCAAGUGGCCCUUCCCGGUGCCUAUCGUUUCCGGGGCCCACUUCCCCCCUCCUCGCUCACCUCGCCUGGAAGCCUUGCUUCGGUUGAGUUCUUUCCCACCGCAGCUUCCCUCCAGAUAUAAACCCUAUCCCUCUCGUCCUCGCUUGUUGUGAAGCUCGUGAAUCCCGCGCCGAUCUCGUCGUCGGCCUCGAGGAGUAGCAGCCCCUGAUGGCGACCGCCGUGGCGUCGCAGCCGCGACACUUCACCCUCGGCGGCGAGCCGAGGGCAGCCAUCUGCGCAGCCAGCACAUCAAAGAUUUGCACCCUGGACAAAGUAUAUGGAUUCAGGUUCGUAUGCAGAAGUGUUGUUGAUCUAAGGAGUCAAAAAUUCCAUUCCCAAAUUUCUAAGAGAAAGUGCUAUUUAACAAGUUCACCAUCGGAAUUUGAGAAGAUCAUUUUGAGUGCUAGAUGGUUAGAAUUUAGGAGACAGAGGAUAGCCUUUCAGAGAACUAGAAGGUGGGUUCACAGUAUUCCAUUGGCUUCUCAAGAUGAUGGCAGUGGUGUGUCUGUUAAUGGAGUACCACAAGUUGAUCCAGCAAGUCAAAUGAAGGAAAUAAGGGUGGAAUUGGAUAAAGCAUUGCAAAAUGAAGACAUAAGCACUGGCCUUGUCCAAUCAAUACAUGAUGCUGCGAGAUCUAUUGAAUUGGCUUUCCUUGAUCACAGCAAAUCAUCAAUAAACUCUUGGUUCCCAAAGAUGUGGCUUGGUGUCGAUAACAAUGCAUGGAUAAAAUCACUGUCUUACCAGGCUGCUGUUAGCUCGUUACUGCAAGCAGUUAUCGAUGUUUCAUCAAGGGGGAACGGCAGAGAUAGAGAUAUUAAUGUAUUUGUUCAAAGGAGUUUAUCCCGCCUUCUCAGCUCUCUAGAUGGUGUUAUACAGAAUGAAUUGGCUAGAAGGGAACCUUCAUUAUAUCAGUGGUAUUCAUCUAAUCAAAAUCCAUUGGUGGUGAGGACAUUUGUGAACACUUUUGAAAAUGAUCGACGAUUUAAUUCUGCAACAGCAAUAUGCAGCGAAGGCAAGCCAAUGGAUACUAGUGAAAGUGACCUUUCUUUGCUUGUGCUUGGUCUGUUCUGUCUUGCUGCUAUUACGAAGCUAGGAUCAGCAAAAGUUUCUUGUCAGCAGUUUUUCUCCAUGGUCCCUGAUAUUAUUGGCCGAUUCAUGGAUAUGCUUCUUGAAUUCGUUCCUAUAAGUAAAGCGUAUACCUUGACGAAAGAUAUUGGUCUUCAGAGAGAAUUCUUGUGCAAUUUUGGUCCUCGUGCUGCUGUUCCUAAGUUUGCUAAUGAUCAUGGACUUGAGAUAUCAUUUUGGAUUGAUCUGGUUCAGAAACAAUUACUAAGGGCUCUUGAUCGUGAAAAGAUAUGGUCAAGACUGACAACAAGUGAAACUAUUGAGGUUUUGGAAAAGGACCUAGCGAUAUUUGGUUUUUUCAUUGCUUUAGGCAGAAGUACACAAGUAUACCUGUCUUCCAAAAGUCAUACAGAUUCAAAUGAUUCUAUCAAUAGUAUUGUAAGGUACCUUAUUGGUGGGAGCGUCCUAUAUUAUCCACAGUUGUCCUCGAUUAGUUCUUAUCAGUUGUAUGUGGAGGUUGUUUGUGAAGAGCUUGAGUGGCUUCCAUUUUACUAUGAAGAUGUGCCAACGCCAAUAGUUAAUACUGAAGGCAGAAAAGAAAUGCCUAAAAGAGAACUGAUAUCAAGGGUGCUAAAUGUCUGCACUUAUUGGAUGACUAGUUUUAUAAAGUAUAGCUCAUGGCUUGAGAACCCCUUAAAUGUAAAGGCAGCACGAUUCCUAUCUAAGGGGCAUGCCAUGUUGAGGGACUGCAUGACUGAGCUUGACAUAGCAAAAAAUAAUAUGCCUAAAGACCGAAGUUUUCAAGAAAGUGGAGUAUUGGUUGAUGCGACUGAGCUAGCUUCCAUUGACAAGUCACUUGAAAGUGUUGAGGAAGCUUUGGUUAAGUUAGAAAAUUUGCUUCAAGAAUUGCAUCUUUCCAGUACCAACUCUGGUAAGGAGGAUCUAAAGGCUGAUCUAGAAAUGAUCAGAAGACUGAAGAAGGAAGCAGAAUUUCUUGAGGCUUCCUUUCGAGCAAAAGCAGAAUAUCUGGAGGCUGAUACUAUUAGCAGAGUGUUACCUCCUGCUGGCGAGGGAGAACACGGAAAGACGGGCAGCAUGGUUAAUGAGGUUUUAACACCACAAAAACCAGUAAAUAGGAUGGAGAACAAUCGUCGUCCGUUUUGGGACAUUUUUGGUAUGACUUCUGGAAGGAAAAUUGUGCCAGCACAACAAGCUGUGGAUCAGGAUGCUUCUGCUGCCAAGGUGGAUCAAAUAGACAUGGAGUCAAAUGACAUCCGCCGCUUCGAACAGUUGAGACGUGAGUUGAUUGAGUUAGAAAGGAGAGUGCAGAAGAGUACAGAUGGUGCUAAAAAAGAGGAGUUCCAGGAAACGGAGGUUCCAGAUGAAACAAUGAGCCCUUCUGAGUCAGCACCCCCUCUGUCAGGGCCUUCUGGUUCAGUAAUCAAGAAAGAAAAUGUUAUUACAAAAUCGGUAGAGAAAGUUAAGGAGAGUACAACGAUUGUGUUGCAAGGGACACAGCUCUUAGCAAUUGAUACAGGAGCUGCUAUGGGUUUACUGAAAAGAUCUCUUAUUGGGGAGGAACUAACUCAGAAGGAGAAGCAGGCUCUUCAGAGAACCCUGACAGAUUUGGCAUCUGUCGUUCCAAUAGGAAUACUCAUGCUUCUACCAGUUACUGCUGUUGGGCAUGCUGCUAUUUUGGCUUUCAUCCAGAGAUAUGUGCCUUCCAUGAUCCCAUCCACAUAUGGCCCCGAGAGGUUAGAUCUCCUCAGGCAGCUUGAGGAAGUGAAGGAAAUGAAAUUGCCUGAAGGCAGCAGUGAAGAUAUUUCUGACGCAAUAGGUUUGAGAGGUGACCAAGUGAAAUAAGCUGACCAUGUACAGACGGACACAAGUAUAUUUCUGAUUGUCUUUUCUGUAAAGAUGUUUUUGAACAAGAGGCGGGAGGGUUCGUUUCCUUAUACUCUACUCCUAGAAGACCUCUCAGUGCAUGCUGAUGGGAGUAGAGCUACACAUGUUACAACCAUACGAUACAUGGGCAUAUGUUGAGGGGCUAUUCUUCCUAAAGUUAUAUGCCUUCGUAGAUCUUUGUCCAUACUUAACAGUUACAACUUACAAGAGUAUUUGGUGCCCACUCAGCAUAUAUGAUCAACAUCCAAGUUCCUUUUGCAUAAUGGCUUUGUAGAGUAGGCAUUUUGAUAAGUGGAUCGAAUACCUAGCUAGAUAUUUGUGUAUCACAUGUUGUCAUGUAACCCCAUGUAUUUAUAUUUGAGAUAAUUAGCUGUUCAUACAUGAACUUGCCUAGGACCUGCAAUUUCGUACAUGUCGCAAAAUCGCUUUAGUUUUUUUGAACACAGUAGACAUAGGCGCUCAUGUAUACACACAUACAUUCACAUCUAUGAACACAUGCAUGCACACUGUACCCC
rnacentral:rRNA from 1 species